rnacentral:lncRNA from 7 species
CCACAACAUUUAUUUUAGAAUAGAAAUUCAAUUUCUAGAAUAGAUUUCGAAUAGCUGUUGUCUAAUUUGGGUAAGCUAAGAUGGAUUUUAUUUUGGAGUCAUGUUAAGUGAAACAGUGACUGCAAAUGCAAAUGAAGUUAUGUUAAACCAAGGGAAUAUCAUAUCCUGAAUUUAUUGUGGACUUCCAUGUGCAGCGUACAGCUACAUGAUGAGUACAGAAACUGGAUAGCUUGAAAUUCAGAUGAAAGUUGGAGAGUGACUUUCUGGUCCCUGGUUUAAUGUCUGUAUGGGUACAGCUAACUACAGUCUGCAAGAAGUCUCCAGAGUCAUCCAUGCACUGUGUAGGAUCACUGAUUACCCCCCAUGCAUUUCAAUGCAGUCGAGUGAUCCUUCAAGAUGCAUGAGGACACGCUUUCUCUUUUCAUCCUUUGUGCUUUGCUUUCACACUCCCCCAUUUCUCUGUCUUUUUAACAUUACUGUCAUUUCUCUUUGCAUGCUAAGGCUGUUCUGCAUCUCUCUGCCACUCUUCCUAAUAGUCCAUAGACAAAUGACUUUUGGAACAUUCCUUUUGAAGGCAGCCAAGCUGCACCUGUGCAGUGCAGUGGGAACGAAUAACCCAGCGCUGCUGUUUGUUUGCAGGCUCUCUGCUUGCUCAGCCUGGUGCUGACUGCCACACACAGCGAUUCCAGGCCUGGUAAUUCUAAGGAAACUCACCAACUCCAUUUAUUUCUGAAGGAUAUGUCCUAAUGGGGACGGAGCAUUAAUUAAAAGGCAUUACGAGCUCACAGAUGUGAUUUGCUGCAUGUGUUGUUGUACUGCUCCCACAAGGGUAUUUAUCACAAGGUCACGAAUGGUUUGGCCAGCAGCCAGAGGAAAAAGAAGAGGCAUCAUUAGCAGACCUCAGGCAUGCAGGAGCUUGCAGUGCAGCUGUAGAUCCUGGCAUAGCCAGCACGCUGGGCAUGCAGCUCAGCCAGGGAAGCUUGGCUACCUUGGCACAUCGUACCACAAGAACGUAACAUGACAGAGCACUGUGGAAGAGACGUUGAAGCAGAAGGUUCAUGUCCAAGCACUUGGUAGAAGACUAAAAGGAGAUCACCACAGUAACAAGAUAAGGAGUGGCUGGAGGAAGCCUUGUAAGGAGAGGUGUCAUUCCACCAGACCCAAAUCCUUAUCCUAUAAGACUACACAGACCUGCUGAGUUCCAACAAAUAACAGCAGGGGAAGAAGAGAUCCCACCAACUGUGCUGCACACCACAAAGGGCCAAUGAGCAGUCGUUUGGGCAGGGGGGAGUGAGACCCCCUCUGACCACCCACCUAUUUCCAGGGUACUCCAAAUCUUGAAAUGCACUUGCGCAGGGUUAGGGCCACACCUCCAUCACAGUGUUAGAGGGGCCCGAUGACCACAUAAGAUCUCCAACCCACUGACAAAUGGUGACUGAACAACUCCUCAGGGGGGCUGUCAGAGCACAGAAGGCUGACAGCUGGGGUAUGCCCACCGUGAGGACUGCUGGGACACCCCUGGGUCCCACAAUGGUGGUACCACUUUCUAUCUCUACAGCAUAUAUAACGUAACACGAGGCAUAUCAUCAUAACUUAUCAUCAUGAGUGGUGUCCCACAGGGGUCCAUCCUGGAAAUGGUACACUGUGACAUUUUUAUCAGUGACAGAGACAGUGGGAUU